CCUAACUGACACAUUGUCAAUGCUGGACUCUGCUUCGUGUUUCAUGUCGGUGUAGCUGAGGAUGCUCUGCACAUGCCCCUUGCGGAGAAAGUGGUCUUCUUUCAACUCUGGGCUUGCUCCCUCCCCACAAUGGACUUGCCAGUUCUCAUUCACCUGCCCUCUCCAGUUACAUGAACAGAAGUCCAGGGAUGAAGGGAACAUGAGAAGGGGUUGAAGACAGAAGACCCAGGUUCAGUUUGGGGUGUGCUAUGUUAAUGGCUGCAGAGAACCUACUUGGAAGCUGCGAGAGUUUAACCCAAGC